rnacentral:rRNA from 1 species
UACGGAGGGUGCAAACGUUGCUCGGAAUCCUUGGGCGUAAAGCGCACGUAGGCGGACCGCUAAGUCGGAUGUGAAAGCCCUCGGCUUAGCCGAGGAAGUGCAUUCGAAACUGACGGUCUUGAGUAUGGAAGAGGGUCGCGGAAUUCCCGGUGUAGAGGUGAAAUUCGUAGAUAUCGGGAGGAACACCAGUGGCGAAGGCGGCGACCUGGGCCAAUACUGACGCUGAGGUGCGAAAGCGUGGGUAGCAAACAGG